GCUGGCGGCAGGCCUAACACAUGCAAGUCGAGCGCGCCUUCGGGUGAGCGGCGGACGGGUUAGUAACGCGUGGGAACGUGCCCUUCUCUACGGAAUAGCCUCUGGAAACGGAGAGUAAUACCGUAUACGCCCUUUGGGGGAAAGAUUUAUCGGAGAAGGAUCGGCCCGCGUUAGAUUAGGUAGUUGGUGGGGUAACUGGCCUACCAAGCCUACGAUCUAUAGCUGGUUUUAGAGGAUGAUCAGCAACACUGGGACUGAGACACGGCCCAGACUCCUACGGGAGGCAGCAGUGGGGUAUCUUAGACAAUGGGGGCAACCCUGAUCUAGCCAUGCCGCGUGAGUGAUGAAGGCCUUAGGGUCGUAAAGCUCUUUCGCCUGUGAUGAUAAUGACAGUAGCAGGUAAAGAAACCCCGGCUACUCCGUGCCCGCAGCCGCGGUAAUACGGAGGGGGUUAGCGUUGAAGCC
rnacentral:rRNA from 1 species